GGCGCCGUAGCCAAGUGGUAAGGCAAAGGUCUGCAACACCUUCAUUCCCCGGUCCAAAUCCGGGCGGCGCCUCCA
rnacentral:tRNA from 1 species